rnacentral:rRNA from 1 species
AACGAACGCUGGCGGCAUGCCUAACACAUGCAAGUCGAACGAGACCUUCGGGUCUAUUGGCGCACGUGUGCGUACCGCGUGGUAACCUGCCUUUAGGUUCGGAAUACCUCAGUGAAAUUUGAGCUCAUACCGCAUGAUCUCUUCGCACCAAAGAUUUAUCACCUUUGGAUGGGCCCGCGUUGGAUUCGUUGGUUGGUGGUGUAAAUGCCUACCAAUGACAUGAUGCAUAGCUGGUCUGUUAGGAGGAUCAACCACACUGGAAAUGCGACACGGCCCAGAACGGGACGCAGCAGAGGAGAAGAGUAUAUAAUAGGAGGGAGCAAGGUGUAAUAAAGCAAUGCGCGGGAAGUGAUGAAGGCGUUAGGGUUGUAAAGCUGUUUUACCCGAGAUGAGAAUGACAGUAACGGGUGAAGAAGCACCGGCUAACUACGUG